AGCGAACGCUGGCGGCGUGCUUAACACAUGCAAGUCGAGGGAGAACGGAGGGCUUCGGCCUUCUUAGUAAACCGGCGCACGGGUGAGUAACACGUAGGUAACCUACCCCCGAGCUCGGGAUAACCUGUCGAAAGAUAGGCUAAUACCGGAUGAGACCACGUUGGUUUCGGCCAAUGCGGUCAAAGAUGGCCUCUAUUUAUACGCUAUCACUCGAGGAUGGGCCUGCGCACCAUUAGCUAGUUGGUGAGGUAACGGCUCACCAAGGCUACGAUGGUUAGUUGGUCUGAGAGGAUGACCAGCCACACUGGGACUGAGACACGGCCCAGACUCCUACGGGAGGCAG
rnacentral:rRNA from 1 species